rnacentral:tRNA from 1 species
GGAGAGGUACCCAAGUGGCUAAAGGGGGCAGACUGUAAAUCUGCUGGCAGUGCCUUCACUGGUUCGAAUCCAGUCCUCUCCACCA